UACAGAGGUCCCGAGCGUUGUUCGGAUUCAUUGGGCGUAAAGAGCUCGUAGGCGGCCUGUUGCGUCCGCUGUGAAAGCCCGGGGCUUAACCCCGGGUCGGCAGUGGAUACGGGCAGGCUAGAGGUAGGUAGGGGAGAAUGGAAUUCCCGGUGUAGCGGUGAAAUGCGCAGAUAUCGGGAGGAACACCGGUGGCGAAGGCGGGUGACUGGCCAAACACUGACACUGAGACCCGAAAGCGUGGGGAUCAAACAGG
rnacentral:rRNA from 1 species